rnacentral:rRNA from 1 species
UACGUAGGGCGCAAGCGUUAUCCGGAAUUAUUGGGCGUAAAGAGCUCGUAGGCGGUUGUCGCGUCUGCCGUGAAAGUCCGGGGCUCAACUCCGGAUCUGCGGUGGGUACGGGCAGACUAGAGUGAUGUAGGGGAGACUGGAAUUCCUGGUGUAGCGGUGAAAUGCGCAGAUAUCAGGAGGAACACCGAUGGCGAAGGCAGGUCUCUGGGCCGUAACUGACGCUGAGGAGCGAAAGCGUGGGGAGCGAACAGG